AGAGUUUGAUCAUGGCUCAGAUUGAACGCUGGCGGCAGGCCUAACACAUGCAAGUCGAGCGGUAGCACAGAGAGCUUGCUCUCGGGUGACGAGCGGCGGACGGGUGAGUAAUGUCUGGGAAACUGCCUGAUGGAGGGGGAUAACUACUGGAAACGGUAGCUAAUACCGCAUAACGUCGCAAGACCAAAGUGGGGGACCUUCGGGCCUCAUGCCAUCAGAUGUGCCCAGAUGGGAUUAGCUAGUAGGUGGGGUAACGGCUCACCUAGGCGACGAUCCCUAGCUGGUCUGAGAGGAUGACCAGCCACACUGGAACUGAGACACGGUCCAGACUCCUACGGGAGGCAGCAGUGGGGAAUAUUGCACAAUGGGCGCAAGCCUGAUGCAGCCAUGCCGCGUGUGUGAAGAAGGCCUUCGGGUUGUAAAGCACUUUCAGCGGGGAGGAAGGCGAUAAGGUUAAUAACCUUGUCGAUUGACGUUACCCGCAGAAGAAGCACCGGCUAACUCCGUGCCAGCAGCCGCGGUAAUACGGAGGGUGCAAGCGUUAAUCGGAAUUACUGGGCGUAAAGCGCACGCAGGCGGUCUGUCAAGUCGGAUGUGAAAUCCCCGGGCUCAACCUGGGAACUGCAUUCGAAACUGGCAGGCUAGAGUCUUGUAGAGGGGGGUAGAAUUCCAGGUGUAGCGGUGAAAUGCGUAGAGAUCUGGAGGAAUACCGGUGGCGAAGGCGGCCCCCUGGACAAAGACUGACGCUCAGGUGCGAAAGCGUGGGGAGCAAACAGGAUUAGAUACCCUGGUAGUCCACGCCGUAAACGAUGUCGAUUUGGAGGUUGUGCCCUUGAGGCGUGGCUUCCGGAGCUAACGCGUUAAAUCGACCGCCUGGGGAGUACGGCCGCAAGGUUAAAACUCAAAUGAAUUGACGGGGGCCCGCACAAGCGGUGGAGCAUGUGGUUUAAUUCGAUGCAACGCGAAGAACCUUACCUGGUCUUGACAUCCACAGAACUUUCCAGAGAUGGAUUGGUGCCUUCGGGAACUGUGAGACAGGUGCUGCAUGGCUGUCGUCAGCUCGUGUUGUGAAAUGUUGGGUUAAGUCCCGCAACGAGCGCAACCCUUAUCCUUUGUUGCCAGCGGUCCGGCCGGGAACUCAAAGGAGACUGCCAGUGAUAAACUGGAGGAAGGUGGGGAUGACGUCAAGUCAUCAUGGCCCUUACGACCAGGGCUACACACGUGCUACAAUGGCAUAUACAAAGUGAAGCGACCUCGCGAGAGCAAGCGGACCUCAUAAAGUAUGUCGUAGUCCGGAUUGGAGUCUGCAACUCGACUCCAUGAAGUCGGAAUCGCUAGUAAUCGUAGAUCAGAAUGCUACGGUGAAUACGUUCCCGGGCCUUGUACACACCGCCCGUCACACCAUGGGAGUGGGUUGCAAAAGAAGUAGGUAGCUUAACCUUCGGGAGGGCGCUUACCACUUUGUGAUUCAUGACUGGGGUGAAGUCGUAACAAGGUAACCGUAGGGGAACCUGCGGUUGGAUCACCU
rnacentral:rRNA from 1 species